rnacentral:rRNA from 1 species
AGAGUUUGAUCCUGGCUCAGAACGAACGCUGGCGGCAUGCCUAACACAUGCAAGUCGAACGAAGCCUUCGGGCUUAGUGGCGCACGGGUGCGUAACGCGUGGGAAUCUGCCCCUCGGUUCGGAAUAACAGUUAGAAAUGACUGCUAAUACCGGAUGAUGACGAAAGUCCAAAGAUUUAUCGCCGAGGGAUGAGCCCGCGUAGGAUUAGCUUGUUGGUGGGGUAAUGGCCCACCAAGGCGACGAUCCUUAGCUGGUCUGAGAGGAUGAUCAGCCACACUGGGACUGAGACACGGCCCAGACUCCUACGGGAGGCAGCAGUGGGGAAUAUUGGACAAUGGGCGAAAGCCUGAUCCAGCAAUGCCGCGUGAGUGAUGAAGGCCUUAGGGUUGUAAAGCUCUUUUACCAGGGAUGAUAAUGACAGUACCUGGAGAAUAAGCUCCGGCUAACUCCGUG